GACGAACGCUGGCGGCGUGCUUAACACAUGCAAGUCGAGCGAUGAAACACCUUCGGGUGUGAAUUAGCGGCGAACGGGUGAGGAACACGUGAAGAAUCUGCCUUCAACUCUGGGAUAACUCCGGGAAACCGGGGCUAAUACCGGAUAUGAGCCUUGAUCGCAUGAUCGGGGCUGGAAAGUUUUUCGGUUGAAGAUGACUUCGCGGCCUAUCAGCUUGUUGGUGAGGUAAUGGCUCACCAAGGCGACGACGGGUAGCCGGCCUGAGAGGGCGACCGGCCACACUGGGACUGAGACACGGCCCAGACUCCUACGGGAGGCAGCAGUGGGGAAUAUUGCACAAUGGGCGCAAGCCUGAUGCAGCCAUGCCGCGUGUGUGAAGAAGGCCAGCACUUUCAGCGAGGAGGAAGGGUAGUGUGUUAAUAGCACAUUGCAUUGACGUUACUCGCAGAUUAGGGUUGUAAA
rnacentral:rRNA from 1 species